rnacentral:rRNA from 1 species
GUCGUCAGCUCGUGUCGUGAGAUGUUGGGUUAAGUCCCGCAACGAGCGCAACCCCUAUUGUUAGUUGCCAUCAUUCAGUUGGGCACUCUAGCGAGACUGCCGGUAAUAAACCGGAGGAAGGUGGGGAUGACGUCAAGUCCUCAUGGCCUUUAUGCCCAGGGCUACACACGUGCUACAAUGGAUCGUACAAAGGGUCGCGAACCCGCGAGGGGGAGCCAAUCCCAAAAACCGGUCCUCAGUUCGGAUUGGAGUCUGCAACUCGACUCCAUGAAGUUGGAAUCGCUAGUAAUCGUGGAUCAGCAUGCCACGGUGAAUACGUUCCCGGGCCUU